rnacentral:rRNA from 1 species
AGCGAACGCUAGCGGCAGGCUUAACACAUGCAAGUCGAACGGGCACUUCGGUGCUAGUGGCAGACGGGUGAGUAACACGUGGGAACGUACCUUUCGGUUCGGAAUAAUCCAGGGAAACUUGGACUAAUACCGGAUACGCCCUUCGGGGGAAAGAUUCAUCGCCGAUAGAUCGGCCCGCGUCUGAUUAGCUAGUUGGUGAGGUAAUGGCUCACCAAGGCGACGAUCAGUAGCUGGUCUGAGAGGAUGAUCAGCCACAUUGGGACUGAGACACGGCCCAAACUCCUACGGGAGGCAGCAGUGGGGAAUAUUGGACAAUGGGCGCAAGCCUGAUCCAGCCAUGCCGCGUGAGUGAUGAAGGCCUUAGGGUUGUAAAGCUCUUUUGUCCGGGAAGAUAAUGACGGUACCGGAAGAAUAAGCCCCGGCUAACUUCGUG